AUCAUGGCUCAGGACGAACGCUGGCGGCGUGCUUAACACAUGCAAGUCGAACGGGGUAUCAGGGUAGUAAUACCCGAAGUACCUAGUGGCGAACGGGUGCGUAACACGUGAGCAACCUACCCCAGAGCUUGGAAUAACACCGGGAAACCGGUGCUAAUACCGAAUACUCUCAUUCGGCCGCAUGACUGAAUGAGGAAAGAUUUAUCACUCUGGGACGGGCUCGCGGCCUAUCAGCUUGUUGGUGAGGUAACGGCUCACCAAGGCUACGACGGGUAGCUGGUCUGAGAGGACGAUCAGCCACACUGGGACUGAGACACGGCCCAGACUCCUACGGGAGGCAGCAGUGGGGAAUAUUGCGCAAUGGGCGAAAGCCUGAACGCAGCAACGCCGCGUGGAGGAUGAAGGCUUUCGGGUUGUAAACUCCUUUCAGCAGGGACGAAACUGACGGUACCUGCAGAAGAAGCCCCGGCUAACUACGUGCCAGCAGCCGCGGUGAGACGUAGGGGGCAAGCGUUGUCCGGAUUUAUUGGGCGUAAAGAGCUCGUAGGCGGCUUGGCAAGUCGGAUGUGAAAUCUCCAGGCUUAACCUGGAGUCGCCAUCCGAUACUGCUAUGGCUAGAGUCCGGUAGAGGAUCGUGGAAUUCCUGGUGUAGCGGUGAAAUGCGCAGAUAUCAGGAGGAACACCAACGGCGAAGGCAGCGAUCUGGGCCGGUACUGACGCUGAGGAGCGAAAGCGUGGGGAGCGAACAGGAUUAGAUACCCUGGUAGUCCACGCCCUAAACGUUGGGCACUAGGUGUGGGGCCUAUUUCGACGGGUUCCGUGCCGUAGCUAACGCAUUAAGUGCCCCGCCUGGGGAGUACGGUCGCAAGGCUAAAACUCAAAGGAAUUGACGGGGGCCCGCACAAGCGGCGGAGCAUGCGGCUUAAUUCGAUGCAACGCGAAAAACCUCACCUGGGUUUGACAUGUAGGGAAAAGCUGCAGAGAUGCAGUGUCCUUUUAGGKCCCUUCACAGGUGGUGCAUGGCUGUCGUCAGCUCGUGUCGUGAGAUGUUGGGUUAAGUCCCGCAACGAGCGCAACCCUUGCCCUAUGUUGCCAGCGGAUAAUGCCGGGGACUCGUAGGGGACUGCCGGAGUUAAUUCGGAGGAAGGUGGGGACGACGUCAAGUCAUCAUGCCCCUUACAUCCAGGGCUGCACGCAUGCUACAAUGGCCGGUACAAAGGGUCGCCAACCCGCGAGGGGGAGCCAAUCCCAUAAAGCCGGUCUCAGUUCGGAUCGCAGUCUGCAACUCGACUGCGUGAAGUCGGAGUCGCUAGUAAUCCCGAAUCAGCACGUCGGGGUGAAUACGUUCCCGGGCCUUGUACACACCGCCCGUCACACCACGAAAGUCGGCAACACCCGAAGCCGGUGGCCCAACCAGUAAUGGAGGGAGCCGUCGAAGGUGGGGUCGGUGAUUGGGGUGAAGUCGUAACAAGGUA
rnacentral:rRNA from 1 species